rnacentral:rRNA from 1 species
UGUAAUUUGUAGAAGAUGCUUUGGGUGCGGCCCCGGUCUAAGUUCCUUGGAACAGGACGUCAUAGAGGGUGAGAAUCCCGUAUGUGAUCGGUGGCUUGCGCCCGUGUAAAGCUCUUUCGACGAGUCGGGUUGUUUGGGAAUGCAGCUCUAAAUGGGUGGUAAAUUUCAUCUAAAGCUAAAUAUUGGCCAGAGACCGAUAGCGCACAAGUAGAGUGAUCGAAAGAUGAAAAGCACUUUGGAAAGAGAGUUAAACAGUACGUGAAAUUGUUGAAAGGGAAGCGCUUGCAACCAGACUUGCGCGGGGUUGAUCAUCCGGGGUUCUCCCCGGUGCACUCGGCCUCGCUCAGGCCAGCAUCGGUUUCGGUGGUUGGAUAAAGGCCUUGGGAAUGUGACUCCUCUCGGGGAGUGUUAUAGCCCUCGGUGCAAUGCAGCCUACCGGGACCGAGGACCGCGCUUCGGCUAGGAUGCUGGCGUAAUGGUUGUAAGCGACCCGUCUUGAAACACGGACCAAGGAGUCUAACAUCUAUGCGAGUGUUUGGGUGUCAAACCCAUACGCGUAAUGAAAGUGAACGGAGGUGAGAACCCUUAAGGGUGCAUCAUCGACCGAUCCUGAUGUCUUCGGAUGGAUUUGAGUAAGAGCAUAGCUGUUGGGACCCGAAAGAUGGUGAACUAUGCCUGAAUAGGGUGAAGCCAGAGGAAACUCUGGUGGAGGCUCGCAGCGGUUCUGACGUGCAAAUCGAUCGUCAA